UAUGAAUCUAGUGGAAUCACUUCUGCACAAACUUGACUGCUGGAAUCAGUGUGCGGAAAUGCUUCUGCUACAUUUUUA
rfam:Podiceps cristatus contig42726, whole genome shotgun sequence.